AGUGAACGCUGGCGGUAGGCCUAACACAUGCAAGUCGAACGGCAGCACAGUAAGAGCUUGCUCUUACGGGUGGCGAGUGGCGGACGGGUGAGGAAUACAUCGGAAUCUACUUUUUCGUGGGGGAUAACGUAGGGAAACUUACGCUAAUACCGCAUACGACCUACGGGUGAAAGCAGGGGAUCUUCGGACCUUGCGCGAUUGAAUGGGCCGAUGUCGGAUUAGCUAGUUGGCGGGGUAAAGGCCCACCAAGGCGACGAUCCGUAGCUGGUCUGAGAGGAUGAUCAGCCACACUGGAACUGAGACACGGUCCAGGCUCCUACGGGAGGCAGCAGUGGGGAAUAUUGGACAAUGGGCGCAAGCCUGAUCCAGCCAUACCGCGUGGGUGAAGAAGGCCUUCGGGUUGUAAAGCCCUUUUGUUGGGAAAGAAAAGCAGCAGGUUAAUACCCCGCUGUUCUGACGGUACCCAAAGAAUAAGCACCGGCUAACUUCGUG
rnacentral:rRNA from 1 species